rnacentral:rRNA from 1 species
UACGUAGGGUGCGAGCGUUAAUCGGAAUUACUGGGCGUAAAGUGUGCGCAGGCGGCCGAGCAAGUCGAGUGUGAAAGCCCCGGGCUUAACUUGGGAAUUGCGCUCGAAACUACUUGGCUGGAGUGUGGCAGAGGAAGGUGGAAUUCCACGUGUAGCGGUGAAAUGCGUAGAUAUCAGGAGGAACACCUGUGGUGUAGACAGCUUACUGGACCACUUCUGACGCUGAGACACGAAAGCGUGGGUAGCAAACAGG